CCUGAAGCCAAAAUGCAAUGGAUAUGAGCUAAAUCAAAAAAAGCGCUUAUUGUAAACAAGCUGCAAAGAUACACAUCCCACUAAAAACGCUUAUGCCAAAAAAAGUCAGAGCACACAUCGCGAUUUUUCCCGGCAUCGCGUUCUCCACCUUCCGGCUUUGCGUUUUGAAGCUUGGUCAACCAUCAUCGUGGAUUCGCGUUCAACCUUCGGCGCGUUUGGAAUCAUUGCGUUUUCAAUGAUACGUCACGACGAAACAACGGCGAACACGAGGGAUUCAAAAUCCAAAUGCAAAAUCACGUCAACCUCGAAUCGUGACAAUUUCUACGCGUGCGGAAUGAAAAUGGAAAGAAGACUAUGAAGACUCACCGAAUCGGAAUGUGUAUCGAUUUCUCCGAAUUGCUCCCUUUUCUUCUGUUCUCUUGAUUUCAAUCUCUGCUCCUUCUUCUUCUAAACUGCUUUUGUUAUCGAUUUUGCGAAGUUGCGUGAAUUGUUGAAAAUCUCUGUGAUUGUGUGUUGUAAAUUGUUGUGAAUGCAUAGUGGAUGAGAUUCAGAGAUGCUUGGUGUAGAAUGAAGUGAUGGCAAAAUAGAGAAUUUGGAAAAUUUGCAGAAUGAAGAAAUUGUAUAUUGAAGGAGUUUUCAUAAUGAAGUAUCUGUUCAAUGAAGAUAGAUUCUUUAAAGUUUGCCAAAGACUUGGUGACUGGUUUUGUGCUUGGACCUAUGGUGAGUGGCAAGGAAUUGUCGAAUUGGACUCAUGAAAUACAUGGAAGUUGUUUUGUUUUUGACCUUGUUAUUGUAAUGUAUUUGAAAUAUUGUAACGUUAUGUAGAAUAUUGGGACUUGUAAUAUAACUUUGGAAUUAAAAAUGAAAAUGGUUGUGUAA